UACGUAGGGGGCUAGCGUUGUCCGGAUUUAUUGGGCGUAAAGAGCGUGUAGGCGGCCAAGUAGGUCUGGUGUGAAAACUCGAGGCUUAACCUCGAGAUGUCAUCGGAAACCAUCUGGCUAGAGUCCGGAAGAGGAGAGUGGAAUUCCUGGUGUAGCGGUGAAAUGCGCAGAUAUCAGGAAGAACACCAAUGGCGAAAGCAGCUCUCUGGGACGGUACUGACGCUGAGACGCGAAAGCGUGGGGAGCGAACAGG
rnacentral:rRNA from 1 species